GCCAGCAGCCAUAUCACUCUGCAACUCACAACUGGCAACCCAUUUAAGCAGGUGUGAGCCUGGUCAGUACCAUGAUGGGAAACCUCCUGGGAAAAUAAGGUUGCUGCUGGAA
rnacentral:rRNA from 1 species